rnacentral:rRNA from 1 species
UUUUUAGUAAAAUCUGCUCAAUGAAUUUUUAAAUAGCCGCAAUUUUAGUGCUAAGGUAGCAUAAUAAUUUGUCUUUUAAAUAAGGACUAGAACAAAAGAUUUAACAUUUUAUUCAAUUUAUUAAAAUUAAAAUUCUAAAUUAAUUUAAUUGUAAUAAAGCAAUUAUUAAUAAGAAAGACGACAAGACCCUAUCGAACUUAACUUUAGUUAAACUGGGGUAGUUAAUCAUUUAUUAUUUUAAUAUUAUUAUAUAUUAAUAUAUCUAGAACUUUUAAUUAAUCUAGUUACCGUAGGGAUAACAGCGCAAUAAUAUUUUAAAGUUCUCAUAUAAAAAAUAGAUUACGACCUCGAUGUUGAAUUAAUUACCUAAUUUAAGCAAAUUUAAAAAAAGGAAGUCUGUUCGACUUUUAAACAAUUACAUGAUUUGAGUUCAGACCGGUGUAAACCAGGUCGGUUUCCAUCUUCUUAAGAUAUUUUUGUAGUACGAAAGGACCUAAAAAUCUUUACAUUUUAUAUUAGCAAAUAAAUGCAUUAGAAUUAGAAUCUAAUAAAACU